UAAGGGGGCCCUAAGAUCUAGCCAAC
rnacentral:piRNA from 1 species